rnacentral:rRNA from 1 species
UUCUAGAGAUAGAAAGUUACUUCGGUACAUCGGUGACAGGUGGUGCAUGGUUGUCGUCAGCUCGUGUCGUGAGAUGUUGGGUUAAGUCCCGCAACGAGCGCAACCCCUAUUGUUAGUUGCCAUCAUUCAGUUGGGCACUCUAGCGAGACUGCCGGUAAUAAACCGGAGGAAGGUGGGGAUGACGUCAAAUCAUCAUGCCCCUUAUGACCUGGGCUACACACGUGCUACAAUGGUUGGUACAACGAGUUGCGAGUCGGUGACGGCGAGCUAAUCUCUUAAAGCCAAUCUCAGUUCGGAUUGUAGGCUGCAACUCGCCUACAUGAAGUCGGAAUCGCUAGUAAUCGCGGAUCAGCACGCCGCGGUGAAUACGUUCCCGGGCCUU